UUUCGGCUGAUUAUGCCCGGUACUUAUAGGACCCGGUGACGACUGGUCCUCCGCCAGAUUGUUGAGGUUCAUGCCCAGUUCCAGCACCCCCGUAUCUCUGAUCUUAUUCCUGUGUGUACCGACCUCCACCUGUUCUCCGACCGACCCCUUUGAACGUGGAAUGAUUUUGUUGGUGAAAAGGCCACUUGGGAAACGCGUCAGUGAAAGGAAGGACAACCUUGUGAGCAGAUAUCUUAUCUUGUUCAUCACCCAAAAACUUCGUUCUUUUGGGAAAGAGCAUCGAGGAGAAAAUGGCAAGCAGAAUUCGUGCGCGAUCUCGAGGCAGAGCACGUGGCCAGGACACCGCUGCACCUGGGGUAAGCAACUUGAAAUGUGGU